UACGAAGGGGGCUAGCGUUGUUCGGAAUUACUGGGCGUAAAGGGCGCGUAGGCGGAUAGUUUAGUGAGAGGUGAAAGCCCAGGGCUCAACCUUGGAACUGCCUUUCAUACUGGCUAUCUUGAGUACGGGAGAGGUGAGUGGAACUCCGAGUGUAGAGGUGAAAUUCGUAGAUAUUCGGAAGAACACCAGUGGCGAAGGCGACUCACUGGCCCGUUACUGACGCUGAGGCGCGAAAGCGUGGGGAGCAAACAGG
rnacentral:rRNA from 1 species